rnacentral:rRNA from 1 species
UACGAGGGGGGCAAGGGUUGUUCGGAAUUACUGGGCGUAAAGCGUGCGUAGGUGGUUCGUUAAGUCUGAUGUGAAAGCCCUGGGCUCAACCUGGGAAUGGCAUUGGAUACUGGCGAUCUAGAGUGCGGUAGAGGGCAGUGGAAUUCCCGGUGUAGCAGUGAAAUGCGUAGAGAUCGGGAGGAACAUCUGUGGCGAAGGCGACUGCCUGGACCAGCACUGACACUGAGGCACGAAAGCGUGGGGAGCAAACAGG